rnacentral:rRNA from 1 species
UACGAAGGGGGCUAGCGUUGCUCGGAAUCACUGGGCGUAAAGCGCACGUAGGCGGCUUCUUAAGUCAGGGGUGAAAUCCUGGAGCUCAACUCCAGAACUGCCUUUGAUACUGGGAGGCUCGAGUCCGGGAGAGGUGAGUGGAACUGCGAGUGUAGAGGUGAAAUUCGUAGAUAUUCGCAAGAACACCAGUGGCGAAGGCGGCUCACUGGCCCGGUACUGACGCUGAGGUGCGAAAGCGUGGGGAUCAAACAGG